rnacentral:rRNA from 1 species
UACGUAGGGGGCAAGCGUUGUCCGGAAUCAUUGGGCGUAAAGAGCGUGUAGGCGGCCCGAUAAGUCCGCUGUGAAAGUCCAGGGCUCAACCCUGGAAUGCCGGUGGAUACUGUCGGGCUCGAAUCCGGAAGAGGUGAGUGGAAUUCCUGGUGUAGCGGUGAAAUGCGUAGAUAUCUGGAGGAACACCAAUGGCGAAGGCAGCUCGCUGGAACGGUACUGACGCUGAGGCGCGAAAGCGUGGGGAGCGAACAGG